GGUCGCGUGGUGUAGCGGUUAUCACGUCAGCUUUACACGCUGAAUGUCCCCGGUUCGAACCCGGGCGCGAUCA
rnacentral:tRNA from 1 species